UAGAAGUAUUUUCUUGAGCUUCUAACUCAAGAGUGGGGGUAGUCUCCACUUCUAU
rnacentral:tRNA from 1 species